rnacentral:rRNA from 1 species
UACGGAGGGUGCAAGCGUUAAUCGGAAUUACUGGGCGUAAAGCGCGCGUAGGCGGUUUUUUAAGUCGGAUGUGAAAGCCCCGGGCUCAACCUGGGAACUGCAUCCGAUACUGGAAGACUAGAAUGCGGGAGAGGGAGGUAGAAUUCCAUGUGUAGCAGUGAAAUGCGUAGAUAUAUGGAGGAAUACCAGUGGCGAAGGCGGCCUCCUGGCUCGACAUUGACGCUGAGGUGCGAAAGCGCGGGGAGCAAACGGG